rnacentral:lncRNA from 1 species
AAUUAUGUCUCUCUUAAUAGAGGGAUAAUAAGUCUACAGAAGAUAGAGAGAAAGGGCUGUAAAAUUUUUGAUACUUGAGUAAGGUACCUUAAUUCCCAAAUGAGGAGCCAGUGACAAGUGCCAUAAAAUCAUGGAUAACCCAGUAAUGAUUUGGUGUGAGCUGGCUUUACUCAAGAAGGAGCAAAUCAACAUGAAUAAUAAUUGAAGAUUAGGGGAAAUGUAUUUAAUCACACUUAACAUAAAAAAAAAUUUUGAUCUAAAUUAUAUAUUAUUCAUUUAAAUGUGCAUUAUUUAAAUGUACUGGAUAGUGAUUCUAGUAGACACUAAAUAUAGUUCUUUCAAGUUUUUUUGUGUCUUAAAAGAGCAGAAAAAGGACAUUGGUUUAAAUCUCUCAGUUAAUCAUGCUUUUAGGAGGUCUGGAUGUUAAUAUGAGAAUAGCCCAGCUAUAUCCUUACACUUGGUAGAAAAAUAUGGAAAUUUGAACUAUAAUUCCCAAAAGAUUUAAAAAAGUCCUUGAGAUGUAGCCAGCAAAGUACACAAAGAUAUUUUUUAAUGGUCACUAAUUUUGUAAUUCAAUAAAGCACACAUUAUAUCCUCAUAACAUAAAAGUACUUUACUGAUGACAUAAGCCAUCUUUUUCAAGAAGUUAUCUAAGAUUCUUAAUAUCCCUUCUUUACAAUAUAUAUUUCAUCUUCAGAUUUUUUUUCUAAACAAAGUGCAGUGUAUCUUAGAGUCUACAGAAAACACACUGGUAUACAGUUUUCAAAUCUGCA